GGAUGCUCCUUUCAUAUAUUUAACUUUUUAAAACUUUCUUCCUUCUUUUCCUUCUUCUUUCUCUCUUUCCUUCUUGUUCUUUCUCUUCUUGUUCUGUCUUUCUCUCCUUUCUCUCUUUCUUUCAUUCUUUCUUUUCCAGCUUUUCACUGUGCCCACUGGUCACCCCUUGCUGGGCCUCCAGGGGCCUCAGUAAGGCUGGCCGAGGUACCUGCUGCCCUGCCUGGAACCCACCUCCUUAAGAAUCCUGACUGCCCCACAGGAACCAUGGGCUCCUCAGAGAAAUGGCUGAUUCUAGGACUGGGGCAAGAAAUAUACAAGAUAAAUCUACAUAAAGGAAGUACUAAAAAAAAAUCUCCAAAUCCUACAUUAAAGGGACACAGGAGCCAACUGGAAGAGCUCCCAACGGCCAAAGCCAGAACAACUUGAGAAACAAAAUAAAGUAGGGUCGAGUCAUGAC
rnacentral:lncRNA from 1 species